AAUGAACGCUGGCGGCAGGCCUAACACAUGCAAGUCGAACGAGUGGCGGACGGGAGAGUAAUGUCUGGGAAAAUGCCUGAAGGAGGGGGAUAACAACUGGAAACGGUAGCUAAUACCGCAUACCAUCAGAUGUGCCAAGAUGGGAUUCGCUUGUUGGUGGGGUAACGGCUAACCAGGGCGAAGAUCCCUAGCUGGUCUGAGAAGAUUACCAGCCACACUGUACCUGUGCCACGGUCCAGACUCCUACGGUAGGAAGAAGAGGGGAAUAUUGGACAAUGGGCGCAAGCCUGAUGCAGCCAUGCCGCGUGUAUGAAGAAGGCCGUCGGGUUGUAAAGGACUUUCAGCGGGGAGGCGUUACCCGCAGAAGAAGCACCGGCUAACUCCGUGCCAGCAGCCGCGGUAAUAC
rnacentral:rRNA from 1 species